ACAGACUUAGUCCUAACCUUACAGUUAAUUUUAGCCAAACAUAUACAUGCAAGUAUCCGCAUUCCAGUGUAAAUGCCCAUGAAUUCUCCCCUAGACUAAAGGAGCAGGUAUCAGGCACACAAUCGUAGCCCAAGACACCUUGCUUAGCCACACCCCCACGGGUAUUCAGCAGUAAUUAACAUUAAGCAAUAAGCGCAAGCUUGACUUAGUUAUGGCUACCCAGGGCUGGUAAACCUUGUGCCAGCCACCGCGGUCAUACAAGAAGCCCAAAUUAACUACCACACGGCGUAAAGAGUGGCAUCAUGCUAUCACCCAACUAAGAUCGAAGUGCAACCAAGCCGUCAUAAGCCCACAGUGCAUCCAAGCCCGCCCUCAAAAUGAUCUUAGCAUUAACGACUAAUUAUACCCACGAAAGCUAGGACACAAACUGGGAUUAGAUACCCCACUAUGCCUAGCCCUAAAUCCUGAUACUUCCUGUACCAAAGUAUCCGCCUGAGAACUACGAGCACAAACGCUUAAAACUCUAAGGACUUGGCGGUACCCCAAAUCCACCUAGAGGAGCCUGUUCUAUAAUCGAUAAUCCACGCUACACCCAACCACCUCUCGCCCAAAGCAGCCUACAUACCGCCGUCGCCAGCCCACCUCUCUUGAAAGCCCAAGCAGUGGGCAUAAUAGCCCUCCGCUAAUAAGACAGGUCAAGGUAUAGCUUAUGAGAUGGAAGAAAUGGGCUACAUUUUCUAACAUAGAAAACUAACGAAAAAGGGAAGUGAAAUCUCCCUUAAAAGGCGGAUUUAGCAGUAAAGAAGAACAACAAUGUCCUCUUUAAGCCUGGCCCUGGGGUACGUACAUACCGCCCGUCACCCUCUUCACAAGCUGCACUACCCAUAGCUAAUAACCCACCCGAGCUAAAGAUGAGGUAAGUCGUAACAAGGUAAGUGUACCGGAAGGUGCACUUAGCAC
rnacentral:ncRNA from 1 species